rnacentral:lncRNA from 1 species
UCAUUAUCCAUUGUCUAACAUCUUCCAUAUCUGCUUGUCGUAGUUCUUUUGAAUUUGAAUAAAUCAUCUGAUGGUCUGUUGAAUAAUAGCUCCAUAUUGGGUUUCCAUUGGUAUAAUUAUUUGCUAAUUCUUGAAUAAUUAUAGCUAGUCCAAUGAGUCGUUUAUUUGCAUAGAAAUCAGGUAUCUCAAUUCUGGGUAUCUCUGGCUGCUGCACAAUAUCUUCCGGUAUAAUCAUAUGUCUGGUU